rnacentral:rRNA from 1 species
GUACGUUCCCUGGCCUUUGUAAACACGCGCCGUCGCUAUUACGAUGAUGGCUAUGUGAGCUUCGAAUCGGCAGCUGGACGUUCACCCGUCMCCAGCGUUGAAACUWUUGCAACUUGUCAUUARGAGUAAAAGUCGUACAGUUUCUGUAGGUGAACCUGCAGAAGGAUCAUUAGUGAAAGUUUCGGGCCUGCCAUACGGACGCAAACACGUCUCUGGCGCCCAUCACUAUAUCCAUACCAACCCCUGUGCACUGUGAUGACGAAUGUCAUCGAACAAAAAAAACUCGUAUGGUUGAAUGUACGUGAAAUUGUAGGUAUAGCCUACGAACUAUACACAACUUUCGACAACGGAUCUCUUGGUUCUCCCAUCGAUGAAGAACGCAGCGAAACGCGAUAGGUAAUGUGAAUUGCAGAAUUCCGUGAAUCAUCGAAUCUUUGAACGCACCUUGCGCUCCAUGGUAUUCCGUGGAGCAUGCCUGUUUGAGUGCCGUGAAUUCUCCCUCCCCUUACGGUGGCCGAAAGGCCGAAGUAGGGCGAACGGGGUAGGAUGGGUGUUUGCUGCCUGGGGAUUGUACCAGGCUCGCCCGAAAUGCAUAAGCGCCAGGACCCUCGCUACCGCUCUCUAGGGAAGAGUGGCUAAGCGACCGCUGAGCAUGGCAUGAUACGUCAUUUGCUGUGUGUGGGCGGCCGGUUGGAGAGGUGUCUGCUUUACCAGCCCUAUUUUAAUUCUGGUCUCAAAUCAGGUAGGAUCACCCGCUGAACUUAAGCAUAUCAAUAAGCGGAGGAAAAGAAACUAACAAGGAUUCCCCUAGUAACGGCGAGCGAAGCGGGAAGAGCUCAAAUUUGAAGGCUGGCACCUCCGGUGUCCGCGUUGUAAUCUCGAGACGUGUUUUCCGUGCGGCUCUAUGGACAAGUCCCUUGGAACAGGGCAUCGUAGAGGGUGAAAAUCCCGUACUUGCCAUGGAUGUACCGUGCUUUGUGAUACACGCUCUAAGAGUCGAGUUGUUUGGGAUUGCAGCUCAAAAUGGGUGGUAGACUCCAUCUAAAGCUAAAUACCGGGGAGAGACCGAUAGCGAACAAGUACCGUGAGGGAAAGAUGAAAAGCACUUUGGAAAGAGAGUUAAAAGUACGUGAGAUUGUCGAAAGGGAAGCGCUUGAAGUCAGCCAUGCUGCGCGGACUCAGCCCGGCUGAUGCCUGGUGUAUUUCCCAGCAGCAAGUCAGCAUGGAUUUGGAUCGCCGGAGAAGGGUGGGAGGAAUGUGGCACCCUCGGKKUGUUAAGCCUYCUACUGAAWCCGCSAUUGGAUCAGACSCAUGGUGCUCUGGCGGACUUCGACCUCAACUUAGGAKGCGGCGUAUGCUUGAACGCCGUCUGGCAGACACGGACACU